GAUUAACGCGAAGAACCUUACCUACCCUUGACAUGGUCGGAAUCCUGCUGAGAGGUGGGAGUGCUCGAAAGAGAACCGGCGCACAGGUGCUGCAUGGCUGUCGUCAGCUCGUGUCGUGAGAUGUUGGGUUAAGUCCCGCAACGAGCGCAACCCUUGUCCUUAGUUGCUACGCAAGAGCACUCUAAGGAGACUGCCGGUGACAAACCGGAGGAAGGUGGGGAUGACGUCAAGUCCUCAUGGCCCUUAUGGGUAGGGCUUCACACGUCAUACAAUGGUCGGAACAGAGGGUUGCCAACCCGCGAGGGGGAGCUAAUCCCAGAAAACCGAUCGUAGUCCGGAUUGCACUCUGCAACUCGAGUGCAUGAAGCUGGAAUCGCUAGUAAUCGCGGAUCAGCAUGCCGCGGUGAAUACGUUUCCCGGGCCUUGUACACACCGAAUC
rnacentral:rRNA from 1 species